CGAAGGUAGCGUAAUCACUUGUUCUUUAAAUGAGGACUAGUAUGAAUGGCACCACGAGGGUUAAACUGUCUCCUUUUUUUAAUCAGUGAAACUAAUCUCCCCGUGAAGAAGCGGGGAUUCUUUUAUAAGACGAGAAGACCCUAUGGAGCUUUAAACAAGUUAACACCUGCUACUAAUCNNUUCACUUUCCUGAACCACCACAUUAAGUAUAGCACCUCUGAUUAACAGUUUUCGAUUGGGGUGAUCAUGGAGCAAAAAUCAACCUCCACGACGAAAAGGAACACCUCCUUGAGCCAAAAGCUACAACUUUAAGCACUAAAAAACUAACGCACUUUGACCCAAUUCUUUGAGCAACGAACCAAGUUACCCUAGGGAUAACAGCGCAAUCCACUUUAAGAGCCCCUAUCGACAAGUGGGUUUACGACCUCGAUGUUGGAUCAGGGUAUCCCAGUGGUGCAGCCGCUACUAAAGGUUCGUUUGUUCAACGAUUAAAACCCUACGUGAUCUGAGUUCAGACCGGAGUAAUCCAGGUCAGUUUCUAUCUAUAAAGGGCUUUUUCUAGUACGAAAGGACCGAAAAAGCAUGGCCUAUAACCCAUCAAGCCAUAUAAAUUACUAUUGUUCCCAACUUAAAUAGAAGUAAACCUACCACUUAUCUCGAUAAAAGAGAAGUUAACGUAGCAUAACCUGGCCUUGCAG
rnacentral:rRNA from 1 species